ensembl:lncRNA
GUACUAGACUGCUGGCAAAGUUUUUAAUUUUGGUUUAUGAUGUUUGUAGUUUUUGGAGGCACAGGAUCAAACGCUUGAAAUGCAAUAUUCAUCUGAUACUACAUACCAACCCCAAAUACAGGUAGGGUUUGCUUGGUGGGCUUUUUUCUCCUUCAAGAACAAUUAUUUUCUCCUGCACAUUUUUUUCCCCUUAAAACAUCAGUCAGAUGAGUGGAUAGAUGCAGAAAAUUUCAGCAACAUGUGCAGCAGUAUCCUUGUUGUCUUGACUGAAAGAAUGAUCCUGUGUGUUUUAGCUGGAUCUUCUUUGCUACAAUCCAUAACAGAUGCCAUUGGUGUUUUUGUUCCUAUCGCUACUUGAUGGCUUUCUCCAACCGCACUUCACAUUCCUGAAGCUGAAAGAUUUGUUCUCUUAGCCACCAAGAAACACUACACUCUUAUUUUGGAGUCUCCCUGCAUUCCAAGAUAGCAUUGGCAACAGGGGACAUGCAAGGGUCAACAGCUCCUCAUCCAGCAGCACAACCUCAUUCAUUGCAGCAAAGAGGUUUUCAGAGUUUGGGAAUGCCCUGAAGAGUUUUACCUUCUGUGUCCCAAAAUGGAUGUCAUUUGCUCUUUGUUCCCAGGGAGACACAGACAGAUGUUGUCAAAUAUUCUGCACCCAAUUAUUCUGCACCCAAAUAUUCUGCACCCAAUAUCAGUGCCAAUUUCUUGGCAUUGAAAAAUCUCACUGAACUGACUGGGGGUCUUGAAGUUGUACUGGGCAUCUUUGGUCUUUUGAUUGGUAAUGGCAUCUUUGUGCCAUUGCUAGACUAAGGAAAAUCUGGCAGCAGCUAAAAGUGUGGUGUGUAAUGGUAUUUGCAGAAAAUUAAAACACCUUACCACUUUAGCAACUGUGAAAAUGAAGGUGAGAACUUUUAGCAAUAUACACCUUCAGCUGAGUGAAAUUCUGCCCUGGAUUUUUUUUCUGUUAACCUGAUGAAUGAGAUUCACAUUUGUAAAUUGUGAUUGGUAAUUUGUAAAUUGGUCUGUACUGGGCCAUGGAUAAUAUAAACAAUACUGAGAUUAAGGUGUAAAAGGAGAGAGCAAGAUGUUUUGGCAAGAUAUUUUGAAUUCCUGUGACAUUUUUAUAUUGUUACAUCUGAGAUGUGAAGUGUGAAUAGCUGACAUACCCUUGGUCUGAGGAAUUGUCACCAGAUUCAGGCUUUUUUUUUUAACAAGUGUCAAACUUUUACAAGUAGCCUGUGCAGCUUCUUUUCAGCCACAGCAUAUAACCCUGGUCACAUCAGAUGGAAUGACCAUGACACAGUGACAUUUCUAUUUACCCAUUUCCAUUACUAAAAAUCAAAGAUCACAUUUCCAAGUUACCUCUGACAAUACUGUUAUUGCUUUCCUGCAGAGAAAUUAGACAGAUAAUUUUUCUUUCCUUUCCAGACCUGCCACUCUAUUUUUUUUUUUUUUGCACCAACAAAUUUUUCAUUUCCUGUUAAUUUUUAGUCUAAGAGAAAUAGCUUACUCCAGGAGAAGCAGUCUGAGAGUUAUUGUACAUAGCUAACAGUUUGUUGAAUAAAGUCUGGAAAAAC